GAGUUUGAUCCUUGCUCAGGAUGAAUGCUGGUGGCAUGCCUUACACAUGCAAGUCGGACGGAAAGUGGUGUUUUCAGUGGCAAACGGGUGAGUAACGCGUUAAAACCUAUCCUUGGGAGGGAAACAACAGCUGGAAACGAUUGCUAAUACCCCGUAAGCUGAGGAGCAAAAGGAGGAAUCCGUCCAAGGAGGAGCUCGCGUCUGAUUAGCUAGUUGGUGAAGCAAUAACUUACCAAUCAGUAGUUGGUCUGAGAAGAUGAUCAGCCACACUGGGACUGAGACAUGGCCUAGACUCCUAUAAGAAUUUUCCGCAAUAAACUUGACGGAGCAAUGUCGACAAAAAUACCC
rfam:Vigna angularis cultivar Jingnong 6 chromosome 2, whole genome shotgun sequence.